AACGAACGCUGGCGGCGCGUCUUAAGCAUGCAAGUCGAACGGCAAGAUUGGUGCUUGCACCGAUCCUAGAGUGGCGGACUGGUGAGUAACGCGUGGGUGACGUACCCUAAGGAUGGGGAUAGCUGGUAGAAAUAUCAGAUAAUACCGAAUAUCCUUAUUGUUGUUAGAGGACAGUAAGGAAAGGAGCUUUGGCUUCGCCUAAGGAUCGGCCCGCGUACUAUUAGCUAGUUGGUGAGGUAACGGCUCACCAAGGCGACGAUAGUUAUCCGGCCUAAGAGGGUGAACGGACACAUUGGGACUGAGAUACGGCCCAGACUCCUACGGGAGGCAGCAGCUAAGAAUAUUCCGCAAUGGAGGAAACUCUGACGGAGCGACGCCGCGUGGAUGAUGAAGGCCGGAAGGCUGUAAAAUCCUUUUAAGCAAGAAGAAUAAACUUUACAGGGAAUGGUAGAGUGGUGACGGUAUUGCUUGAAUAAGCAACGGCUAAUUACGUGCCAGCCGCCGCGGUAAGAC
rnacentral:rRNA from 1 species